CUGCACAAUAAAUUGCAAUCCAAUGAAGGUGGCACUUGUUAGCUAGGUGGGUUAACACUAUACUGCCAAUACCCAUAUCGCAACAUUAGAGACAAUAGAGAAUGCUAGCUAUACAGUCGCAGCAAUGAAGAACGCGAAGGGGGAGAGAUUUUCGACACAACACCGGCAAAAGACAGCCCAACGUUACCUUGGUAUGGUUUGGUUGCAACUGUUCCCAUGGCCGUGGAGGGAGAUGGGGGGGAUAUCGUCAUGUGUUGCUGCCUAUGAGAUAGGAAGACUGAAUGUAAGUGGUUGGACUAGGCGUAAUCAAACGUUCUUGGCCCGUGACAACAGUGAUGGAUGGACCAGCCUGGAGACAUGGGAAACAGUACAGGUCCAUGCACACCAUUAGCACCUCGUAUUACUGCGUCUGAUCAUUCUUAGUGCAUUGCGUUUCCUUUUGACUUCAACCAGCCCAUAGAAUGGAUGCACAGAAUCAGUGAAUGUAAAUGUUCUGAAGAAUUUUAAAAACCUGUUCCAUCUGUCUGUCUGUCCCAUCCAUCCUCCAUAUCUUUACCAGUUGUUCACAUAUUCUACCAUUACUGCCAUGUCUCAUUGUUGCAUGUAGUUAGCUGUAAAGCAGUAUAUUUUAGUGUAAAGGAUGAAUUCUAUACACAGUUGGAACUCUUUCACUUCAAAUCAUGCAUUGAUUUGCGUAACAAUUAGAAUUUGGCAUGUAUUGACUUACACGAUAGAUGAUAGGUUCACAGGUGGUUGGUGGCACCUUAAUUGGGGCUCGUGGUAAUGACUGGAGGGAAUCAGUGGAAUGGUAUCAAAUACAUCAAACAUGGUUUCCAGGUGUUUGAUGCCAUUCCUUUUGUGCCGCUCUGGCCAUUAUUAUGAGCCGUUCUCCCCUCAGCAACCUCCAAUGAUAGGUAAAGCUAUUUAGAUAAUCGCAAUGUAAUUAUUUGGUAUCAGUUCAGUGUUUUCAUUGAAAAUAUAUAUUUUCUAUGUAAAUGUUUUAUUUUUUAAUCUGAUAAAGUGUAUUUACAAUGAUGUUGGAUUACUCUGAUUAUAUUUUUUACAAAGGUGUUAACCAGGACAGAGUUAAUCCGGAGCAUAUUCAUUGUGCCUUUUCUUCUUCACAUCCAUUGUGUACCUGAUAAUGAUGAGAUAAUGAAGAGCCCUUAAUGCUUCCUUUGGCAGGACAAGCUUCCUAUAAUCAAUAGCCAUUUAUCCUGGCAAUAACUGUCUUCUUUAUCUUCCUGCAGACUGCACACAUUAGGAACAGCCAAACACCUAUUGAACAUAAAUAUUCUCACUAUUCAAAUCAAAGGGCCUGAGGGAAUAUUGUCAAGCCCGUUGCUAGGACAACAGAUAGUGUGCAUCCCAAAUGGCUCCGAAGUCUCUAAAGUGCACUACUUAGUCAAAAGUACGGCUCUAUAUAAGGAAAAUGGUGCCAUUUUGGAUGCACCCAUAGUGUCGGAUGGUCUUUCAUGUGUUUCUUCUUCCUUAGCUGUUUGUGUUGACAAUAAGGAAAGCACAUCGUGCUUCACAUCAUUAUUGAAACUAUAAUUUCCAAACUAUUAGGGAUUUGUUAUCCAGGCACAUAAAGUCAAUGUUUCCCAGUCACCUCAUAAACUGUUGGGAAACACUAAGUCCGUCAUAGUAUACUCAUUGGUCUGCAUGGCGUUUACCGGUAACAACUUAGUAUACAAUAUAGUAUAUUGAAACAACCAUAGGCAAUCAUCUGCCACGAGAGACAGCUGGAAUGAGAUGUUUUCCUUAUUUACAAAGAAAGAAUACACACAGUGUUACAUGUUCUGAUUUAUCUCUUUAUAAAAAUGUUACAGUUGUAUACAGUUCCUCAAAUUUCUGAAAUCAAUUCAAAUUAGAUGCCCUUCAUUCAGUUAGCUAUUCAACAAAGCAGACAUGCUGAACCAAACCAUGAUGCUGCCACCACCAUGUUUGACAGUGGGGAUGGUGUGGUCAGGGUGAUGAGCUGUGUUGCUUUUACGCCAAACAUA